rnacentral:rRNA from 1 species
AGGACGAACGCUGGCGGCGUGCUUAACACAUGCAAGUCGAGCGGAAAGGCCCUUCGGGGUACUCGAGCGGCGAACGGGUGAGUAACACGUGAGUAAUCUGCCUUCAGCUCUGGGAUAGCUCCGGGAAACCGGGAUUAAUACCGGAUAUGACCACUUCGGACAUCUGUUGUGGUGGAAAGUUUUUCGGCUGGAGAUGAGCUCGCGGCCUAUCAGCUUGUUGGUGGGGUAACGGCCUACCAAGGCGACGACGGGUAGCCGGCCUGAGAGGGCGACCGGCCACACUGGGACUGAGACACGGCCCAGACUCCUACGGGAGGCAGCAGUGGGGAAUAUUGCGCAAUGGGCGGAAGCCUGACGCAGCGACGCCGCGUGGGGGAUGAAAGCCUAUGGGUUGUAAACUCCUUUUAUCAGAGAAGAAAUAUUGACAGUAUCUGGGGAAUAAGCAUCGGCUAACUCCGUGCCAGCAGCCGC